GGACAACUCUCAACACGGCAGCUAGCCAGUCCCUUUCUCCCGAGAGAAGGGGAGUGGUUUCCAGUCUAAUCCAACGCAACGGUCACAGCAUGUGCACGAAUGCAUGAUGGGCUGCAAAUCAACUACAUCUAGUCAACAUCUUCAACAACAAAGGACAAGAAAAGCCCAACAGAAGGAAAUGAAGUUCCUGCUGCUUGUGAUUUGCUGUAUGAUUUCCACAUCACUAGCUGGUCUGAUUGACAAAGAGGCUAAACUGGAAACAGUGCUCAAUGAAAUUGAUGAGGUAUUGCGAGACCUGAAAGCUGAUGAUGACAAGCCUCAGCCUGGACCACUCGGAGACAUUCAAAAACUCGAUUCGAUGCUCAAUGAUCG